rnacentral:rRNA from 1 species
AUUGAACGCUGGCGGCAUGCCUUACACAUGCAAGUCGAACGGCAGCACGGGUGCUUGCACCUGGUGGCGAGUGGCGAACGGGUGAGUAAUAUAUCGGAACGUACCUUAUUGUGGGGGAUAACGCAGCGAAAGCUGUGCUAAUACCGCAUAAUCCCUAAGGGGGAAAGCGGGGGACCGUAAGGCCUCGCGCAAUUAGAGCGGCCGAUACCUGAUUAGCUAGUUGGUGAGGUAAAGGCUCACCAAGGCAACGAUCAGUAGCUGGUCUGAGAGGACGAUCAGCCACACUGGGACUGAGACACGGCCCAGACUCCUACGGGAGGCAGCAGUGGGGAAUUUUGGACAAUGGGCGCAAGCCUGAUCCAGCCAUGCCGCGUGCGGGAAGAAGGCCUUCGGGUUGUAAACCGCUUUUGUCGGGGAAGAAAUCUUCUGAGUUAAUACCUCGGGAGGAUGACGGUACCCGAAGAAUAAGCACCGGCUAACUACGUGCCAGCCGCCGCGGUAA